rnacentral:rRNA from 1 species
UACGAAGGGGGCUAGCGUUGUUCGGAAUCACUGGGCGUAAAGGGCGCGUAGGCGGCCGAUUAAGUCGGGGGUGAAAGCCUGUGGCUCAACCACAGAAUUGCCUUCGAUACUGAUUGGCUUGAGACCGGAAGAGGUAAGUGGAACUGCGAGUGUAGAGGUGAAAUUCGUAGAUAUUCGCAAGAACACCAGUGGCGAAGGCGGCUCACUGGCCCGAUACUGACGCUGAGGCACGAAAGCGUGGGGAGCAAACAGG